rnacentral:rRNA from 1 species
ACGGAGGUGGCAAGCGUUGUUCGGAAUUACUGGGCGUAAAGGGCGCGUAGGCGGAAUCGUAGGUCCGAUGUGAAAGUGCUACCGCUUAACGGAGCAAAGCCAUCGGAAACCGCGUUUCUUGAGACCGGGAGAGGUGAGUGGAAUUGCCAGUGUAGCGGUGGAAUGUGUAGAUAUUGGCAAGAACACCGGUGGCGAAGGCGGCUCACUGGCCCGGUUCUGACGCUGAGAGCGCGAAAGCGUGGGGAGCGAA